rnacentral:rRNA from 1 species
UGGGGAAUAUUGCACAAUGGGCGCAAGCCUGAUGCAGCCAUGCCGCGUGUAUGAAGAAGGCCUUCGGGUUGUAAAGUACUUUCAGUCGGGAGGAAGGUGUCAAGGUUAAUAACCUUGGCAAUUGACGUUACCCGCAGAAGAAGCACCGGCUAACUCCGUGCCAGCAGCCGCGGUAAUACGGAGGGUGCAAGCGUUAAUCGGAAUUACUGGGCGUAAAGCGCACGCAGGCGGUUUGUUAAGUCAGAUGUGAAAUCCCCGGGCUCAACCUGGGAGCUGCAUCUGAUAGUGGCAAGCUUGAGUCUCGUAGAGGGGGGUAGAAUUCCAGGUGUAGCGGUGAAAUGCGUAGAGAUCUGGAGGAAUACCGGUGGCGGAGGCGACCCCCUGGACGAAGACUGACGCUCAGGUGCGAAAGCGUGGGGAGCAAACAGG